rnacentral:lncRNA from 1 species
CGGCAGUUGCCCUCCCCAGAGAGAAAUGGGCAGCUCGGUGGCACUCAGCCCUGGUGGUCUCCUGCCCCGUGGCAGCAAGCUGAAAAGCAGAAGGAGGCAAUCGCCUGGUGCUGGGAUGCUGUGGAGCAAGGAGAACAAAGUUGACUUGCUGGUGGGAUCGCUACCUGAAGGCGACGGAUACUCAGCUCUGAAGCUGGUUGAUAUCUGGCAAUGGACCUGGCGAGGCUGCAGCUGGUGGGUGGUUGUUGGAAGAGUUUGCGUUCAGGCUAGUGGAUGCCGUGAGGCUAUGCUGGCUGAGAUGGAUGCAAAGUGGUUUGGAAGCCUUGUUUGUUAACAGGCAGCCAAACAGAGGAGGAGUCUGGGGGGACGCUGUUGGAUGGGGGCCAUCCCACUCACCUGUUUGCCUUUGCCUUACAGGGAUGUCCGGAGCCGGUGAGGUUUUCCCCAAGUCCACAGUCAUGAAGAGAACCGCAGGACGUCCCUAUUUACAUUGGAGAAAUGAAUGCGAAAUACUGGCAGCGAACAAUGGACAAGGCCGUGGCCGUACCUGAGAGAAGGAGCUUUGAAGGAAGACUGCAGGCGGACAUCUGCUGCAUUGCAAGUGAUGGGGCAGUGGGGAGAGAGAAGAAAAUGAGGGAGGAAACAUUAGGGCACAUUAGGCGCACCGUCCACUGGAAGUGCUAUGAAGACGCUUUGAACAGGGAUGGCUUCCCCUCAGGGAUUCUGGGAACUGUAGGUGGUUAAGGGGACAGAGAGUUGUUAGGCGGGUUAGGUUUAGGUUUAGGCUUAGGGUUAGGGUUAGGGUUAGGAUUAGUCUUAGGUUUAGGGUAGGGGUAGGGGUAGGGAUAGGGUUAGGAGUAGGGUAGGGGUAGGGGUAGGGUUGAGUUGGGGUAGUGUUAGGGUUAGGGUUCCCUUCUUGUCAGGGAACUUUGGGAAUUGUAGUUCUAGUUAAGGGUUAGGGUUAGAGUUAGCGUCAGGGGUAGGGUUCCCUUCUUGUCAGGGAACUCUGGGAAUUUUAGCUCUGGUUAGGGAGUAGGGUUGGGGUUCCCUUCUUACCAGGGAACUCUGGGAAUUGUUGCUCUAGUUAAAGGUUAAGGGUUAGCGUUAGGGUUAGAGUUAGGGUUAGGGUUAGCGUUAGCGUCAGGGGUAGGGGUAGGGGUAGAGUUCCCUUUUUGCCAGGGAACUCUGGGAUUGUAGCUCUGGGAGGGGAACAGGGGGUCUCCUAACAACUCUCUGCACCCUUUUCAGACUAUAGCUCCCAGAUUCUUUGGGGGAAGAAGCCAUGAGUGUUUAAAGCGGCUUCAUAGCACAUGAAAUGGUGUACAUGUGGCCCUGGCCUCCCUCACCCCACUGCCCCUUAUUAUUGAGGAAUUGAAAAGAUUUCCCCAUGCAAAUCUCUCAGAAACAAUGUAUUUCAUCUGGAAAACUAUUUAAUAAAGAUUACUUUUUAUUAAUAAAAUGAA